rnacentral:rRNA from 1 species
UACGAAGGGGGCUAGCGUUGUUCGGAAUCACUGGGCGUAAAGGGCGCGUAGGCGGUGUGUCAAGUCAGGCGUGAAAGCCCCGGGCUCAACCUGGGAACCGCGCUUGAGACUGGCACGCUCGAGUUCGGGAGAGGAUGGUGGAAUUCCCAGUGUAGAGGUGAAAUGCGUAGAUAUCUGGAGGAAUACCGGUGGCGAAGGCGGCAUCCUGGACCGGCAUUGACGCUGAGGAGCGAAAGCCAGGGGAGCAAACGGG